CGCUAGUCUGACAAAGUACAGGAAGCCUGUUCCCUCCCACUGUGGCCUGCUCUUACCAGCUGUUUAGAAUGCGUUCUGCAGACUUCACCGGGGCUCAUGAGAUAUGCAGCUUUCAACACAGAAAGGGCACAUGUGAUUGCAUUGGAUUCACCACAUAAUCCAGGAUUAUCUUCCCUUGAAGAUCAUUAGCUUAUUCACAUCUGUCAAGUAAGUCCCUUUUGCCAUAUUCACAAAUUUCAGAGAUUAGGAUGUGGACAUCUUUGGAGGCCAUUAUUCUGCCUACCACAGGGAGUAAGGGCACAAAUAUGAGUUCAGUUCUACACACGUGGGUUUGGUGAACACGGCACAUCCAGGCGGUGAUGCUGAGUAGAAAGCACUAUAGCUGGGUCUGAACCUUAGGAGUGAGAUUUGCUUGAUCAUCCAAAUGCAAGCAUCAUCAAAGUAUAGAUGGAAUUGAAAACAGGGACAUAGACGGGGUCUCCCUUGGCAAAAUAUUUAGAGUGGAAAGAGAAGAGGAAAAACUUUGAGAAAUAUUAUCCUUCAACGGAUAAGCAAAGAAUCCUCUGAAGAAGAAUGAAAAUGAGUAGCCAGAAAGGCAGUAAGGACUGGAGGUGAGGAGCAGUUUUGGUCUCUCUUCAGGACCCCAGAGUCUCCCAUCUCCACUUCUUUGCACGUCUUUCCUCAAACCAGACCUUCAUGAUAUUGGUGCAUGCACCCUGCUAGCCACCAGCCCAGAUUGACGAUUGUCUUUUAUUCCCAAUUUAAAAUCCCAGGAGAGAAAAUAUGAUGCCCCCAUGUUGAGUCUAGGCAUUGAUCCACCCCCCAUCACCUCAUGAUACAUAAUGGGCACUCAGUUAACAUUUGUUAAAUUAAUAUUUGUUGAAUGAAUGAAGUCAGAGGUUCACCUGUCAUCUAACAAGCUAUGACCACAAGGUAUCAUCACAGAGCACACACAUGGCUCUGUGAGACCAACAUGUAUUAGUCCAUUCUCGAAUUACUAUAAAGAACUAGCUGAGACUGGGUAAUUUAUAAAG
rnacentral:lncRNA from 1 species